AUUGAACGCUGGCGGCAUGCCUAACACAUGCAAGUCGAACGGGGCGGCAAUGCCUAGUGGCGGACGGGUGAGGAAUACGUAGGAAUCUGCCCUUAAGUGGGGGAUAACCAGGGGAAACCCUGACUAAUACCGCAUGAUCUCUUCGGAGCAAAGAGGGGGACCGCAAGGCCUCUCGCUUCUGGAUGAGCCUACGUCUGAUUAGCUAGUUGGUAGGGUAAAGGCCUACCAAGGCGACGAUCAGUAACUGGUCUGAGAGGAUGAUCAGUCAAACCGGGACUGAGACACGGCCCAAACUCCUACGGGAGGCAGCAGUGGGGAAUAUUGGACACUGGGCGCAAGCCUGAUCCAGCCAUGCCGCGUGAGGGAUGAAGGCUUUAGGGUUGUAAAGCUCUUUCACCGGAGAAGAUAAUGACGGUUUCCGGAGAAGAAGCCCGGGCUAGCUUCGUGCCAGCCGCCGCCGUAACAC
rnacentral:rRNA from 1 species